AAAAAUGCUCUGGAAGCUGUCGAGCGUUAAUACUGCCCAUAGUACCAUUCAAGAGGACCAAUUGAAGUGAUGCAGAGGAAGAUUGGGAUAUCUUGGCCAGCAUAAUGAGUACGGAUGCUUACAGCCUUCCCUGACUUCAUGGAAUCAUCAGUGCAUGCAACAGUUACUUGAAGCUGAUUGCCAAGACUUACUAUGCCAUGGUUACAAGUACUACAGAAAACAAACCAGUGGCACCAGGUAGGCUCCCCUGCUGUGCUCCAGCAUUACUGAUUCCUCUGCCAGGUUGUGGGAUUCCAAUAGGAAACAGAGGGAGGCUGAACACUGCUGUUCUUCAGCUACAGAAAGGACCAGGUGACCAAAUCUUCUGGUUUGGGCCA